AUUGAACGCUGGCGGCAUGCCUUACACAUGCAAGUCGAACGGUAACAGGCCGCAAGGUGCUGACGAGUGGCGAACGGGUGAGUAAUACAUCGGAACGUGCCCGAGAGUGGGGGAUAACGGAGCGAAAGCUUUGCUAAUACCGCAUACGAUCUAAGGAUGAAAGCGGGGGACUCGCAAGAGCCUCGCGCGAUUGGAGCGGCCGAUAUCAGAUUAGGUAGUUGGUGGGGUAAAGGCUCACCAAGCCAACGAUCUGUAGCUGGUCUGAGAGGACGACCAGCCACACUGGAACUGAGACACGGUCCAGACUCCUACGGGAGGCAGCAGUGGGGAAUUUUGGACAAUGGACGCAAGUCUGAUCCAGCCAUUCCGCGUGCAGGAUGAAGGCCCUCGGGUUGUAAACUGCUUUUGUACGGAACGAAAAGGUUUCUAAUUAAUACUAGGAGCUCAUGACGGUACCGUAAGAAUAAGCACCGGCUAACUACGUGCCAGCA
rnacentral:rRNA from 1 species